AUUGAACGCUGGCGGCAGGCCUAACACAUGCAAGUCGAGCGAGCGGCGGACGGGUGAGUAAUGUCUGGGGAACUGCCCGAUAGAGGGGGAUAACUACUGGAAACGGUGGCUAAUACCGCAUACCAUCCGAUGAACCCAGAUGGGCUUGGCUAGUAGGUUGGGUAAAGGCUCACCUAGGCGACGAUCUCUAGCUGGUCUGAGAGGAUGAUAAGCCACACUGGAACUGAGACACGGCCCAGACGCCUACGGGAGGCAGCAGUGGGGAAUAUUGCACAAUGGGCGCAAGCCUGAUGCAGCCAUGCCGCGUGUAUGAAGAAGGCCUUAGGGUUGUAAAGUACUUUCAGCGGGGAGGCGUUACCCGCAGAAGAAGCACAGGCUAACUCCGUGCCAGCAGCCGCGGUAAUUC
rnacentral:rRNA from 1 species